CUAACCCCUGUUAAUGUUGUUGUAGACAGAUUGAAGCAGCCGAAGCAAUUAGGUUUAUCUUCUUCUUCAUCUUAUGAUUCGUAUCUACUGGAACACUUUUUUCAUCUUCUAUCUUACUCAGAAUAAGGGAAUCUUUGAAGAAAUUGUUGAAGAAAUAACCCUUCCUCAUCAUUCACAAUUCUUCCGUGUCUGAAUUUUAUCUUCUGAAACCUUAUGCAAACCCUUUUCUCGAUUUUUCUGUUUGAAUUCCGAGCCUGUUGCAGUAUUGAUGGGUUAAUAUUCUCCGAGGAAUUCCAUUGAAGCAAAGCUACUGGGAUGAUAGUGCUGAUGUUUUAGGUUUGAUUAGAGCUGCCUCUUCGUCUACCUAUUCUCCUUAACUGAUUGAAAUGAUUUUGCUAGAAGUCAGUCUGAGAUGGUUGAAAUAAUGAGUGGUUGAGAUGGUGAAUUUGGGUUUGUCUUGGACUGAGUUUUAGCACUGAGAGGAGAUAGAGAAUUUGGUGAAUUCAUGAACUACAGUCGCUGUUGAAGCUCAAGAUGAUGGAAGUAGAAGAACAGAAAGUCGAAAGAAACUGGGAUUUGAGAUUUGGGUUCAUUGAAGCUGAUAAAAUGGGUGGAUCUGAAAUGGAAUUGCAGUUGCAAGCGGAAUAUGGUGUUGUUGCUGAGUGUGUUUGGUUGGAUAGUGAAUGAGCUACAGGGACGAAGAGUUGCAGUCACUGUGGUGACUGAAGCUCAAGCAAUGGAAUAGCAGGAGCUGCUUUGUAGAGCAGGUAUGAAUGAGCUGAUGGGAGUGUGUAUACAGAUAAGAAGGGAAUGACUGGAGUUGAAAUGAGCAGGUCAGAUGUUGGUGCUAUGAAAUGAUGCAGUAGCUUGAGAAAGUGUGCUGCGAAGAAUUCGAUGAUUGAGCUGACAUUGCAGAUCAUGGAUGGUGCUAUGUUAAUGGAUUUGACAGAGGAAGAGUGUGUCGCUGGUGACUAUUGCAGGCUAGGAAAGAUGCAGCCCAACUGAUGGUUGUUUACGCUGGAGGUUGAAAUGAUCGCAUGCGGGUUUGUUUCUGGUGGAGUUUUUGAAUGUAGAUGGAGGUGAAAUUGCAGGUUACAGUACAGCUGCAGAUGGUGAGUUAAAGCUGGUUCUGGUGUUGGCAGUCCUGGUGGUGCAAGAAGCAACUAUUGAGCUGAAGAUAGUGGAUUAGUGAUGUGUGAAGCUGAGGUGGUGUUGAAGCUAUGGUGAAACUGCAGACAAGGGUUUGAUGGUGGUCUGGUAUUGCAGUCUUGGACGCCUUGGACAUAGAGCUUACAACAACUAAAGAGGUAUACAUGGCAUAAAAUGAUGUGGAUGCUGCUGUGGUCGAUAGCUUGAAAAGGCAUAGUUUGAACCAAGUGAUGGAUGAUGGAGCAUAAAUUAUUAUCCGCAGAACGAGCAAGCAAUAAUUGCUAUCAAGAUUAGUUUUCCUACUCAAUGACGAGUAACGGGGUAACGAACGGGAACAAUAGCGUUAAGUGGGGUGUUAUAGAUCAGUUGCAUGCACUUCAGAAUGAAAAACCAUCAGCUCCUACUACUUCUAGAAGACGACAGGUGGAUGACGGAGCAAGCUUAUUAACAUCUGGUAGAAAGGGUAAGGUUAUGGUAAAAGCGAUUUUCUGUACUUCUAAUAACUUUUAUCAUUCCUUCGGAUUUCCCAUCUAAUAAUUAUUCUUCUUCGUUCUUUUUUCGUCUCUUUCCUGGCCAAAUAUGAUAUGCAUACAAACCUAAACAACAUGAACCAAUUUGAUUGUUUUCGUUGAGAUUUUCAUGGACUGACAGAUUGGAAGUAGUAAGGGUUUUUGUGUUGCUCACUCAGUUGUGAAAAUUCAUAGAAAGUUAAUGUUUUGCAUGACACCACAGGUAAAAUUUUAUUGUUCUUUGUUGUUCAAUAUAACUUCUAUGGUAAGCUCAUUCAACUUCUUCUGCAAUUUUAUUUUUCCAUAAAACUGUAAAUUAACUUUGAUUGGUUUCUGCUUAUUAUUUUGAGGAUAUUUGGAUGAGCUUGGACCACUUUGAGAGAUCAGCUGUAUUCGCCGUUACUCACCCUACCCGCUAUUGUUUUCAGCAACGACACAAUGGCUAGAGCAGGUACGUAGGAUCUCUCUAUAUAUAUAGAUCUCAUUAGAGUCACAAACUCGUAGUAAUUUACAUAUUUCUGAUCACUUCUUUCACAAAAUCAAUAUCAAUUCGUAGAUUGGGACUCAUUCUGAUUUCUGCAUCGUACGUUGUUGCGGCAAUGUGUGUUUUUUGUCUAAUGUUGCAUCAUUUUAUACAUAUGAAUUGUUUAUGUGAUUGAUUCACUCACUUGGGUUGUUGUUCAUGUGUUUGUGAGUCAGGGUAGACAGGCUACCCUCUUUAUUCACAGUUUAGAUUAGGCUAGACUUUCACUCAAUGUUUGAAUGGUUGCUUUAGAUUCACUCGGGUUUAUAUCGAGCAGUUAUUAAAAUUUAUUGGUUAAUCUAAACUUAAGUCAGUCGAUAUGUCUCGAAGCCCACCGGUGGUGGAUUAUUGCAGUGCACACUAGCAAGUUGAUGGCGUGGUUAAUUUAAAUUAUUUGGAUACAACUGAGAGUGUGGAGAAACUCAAGCACAAUGUGUGGACAUUUAUGAGCUAGAGGGAAGAAUUUAAUCAAUAGAUCUUGAUGCCCAACAACCGAGGCUGUGAAGAUAUUGUAGUGAUAUUUGUAGCUUAUUUUGUAUGAUCAUUUAGGGUUGUGUUUUGUUAUUACUGUAGAUAUGUUUAUGAUCCUAUUGCAAGUCUUACUAUAUUCUUACGAAUAGCUUCUUCUAUAUGCUUACUGUAGUAAUCAGUUUUGCAAUGCAAACUUUUAUAGAAUGUAGGGUAUCCGUAUUUUGAUAUUUCUAUUUUUUAUUAUUAAUCUAAAUUGGUUUUAUCGUGAGAUGAAAUAAUAAAACAAUACUCCCUCCCUUACCUGAAUUGCAUAAAAGAAAUGGAAGAUACGCUGCUAACUGGUGGAGGGUGAUUUUUACUGAUUCUGAUUUUCACGGGGCUAAUGUAAUUCAGAUGUCUUGCAGGUAAAAUCCAAACCUCAAAGUUUCAACAAAUGACAGGUAAAGAAGAACCCAUUAGUUCCAAUGUACAAUACAAAGAAAUGCCUUUCAGAAUGUAGACAACAGAUAUGGAGAGAGAGCAAUGGGACAACGAACAGAACAAGCUUCUAUAGUGGAGACCCUGUUCUAGUGAGAUUUUUUCUUUGAACAGUAAAAAAGAACCUUAUCAUUCUUGCGGAAUGAAGUCACAACGUCAAACUUUGCUCAAGUGGGUGUUAUGCAACUCAGAUAUGUGCACGAAUUGACAAAUUUAUUCUGCUUGAAUAUGAACACGUCAGUUCAUGUAUUCACGUCACCGGCAUUUUUGUACCCAAGAUUUUCCUAUACAUAGCACAGUCAUACCAAGAUUUUAACUCAACAGAGAUGCAAAGGUAUCCAAUUUCGGUCUCUUUCUUCUACAAGACACUUGAAGAACCCAAUCUUCAGUGUUUUGAGGCAUUGUAUAUAUGUGCCAGGGUUGUUAAGCUUGAAGUGACAAUUUUUAGGGCAUUAUUAUAAGUAUAUUUUGUGAAACUAAAUUAGGGUGAUAAGGCUGAUGUGUCCAUUUUAGGAAGUUGAUCCUAAUGUAGAAAAUGAUGAUUUGAUAUAUGUGGAGGAACAAAUAGCUUUUAUGUGAGUUUGAAAAUACCAUUCCUGGAAUUGAUGAAGCUAUGAGUUUAGCAGAGAUGCUCGAGUGUCAGGAACUACAUGUACAGUCUUAUACUCUCAGUUGGAUCUACUAAAGAGAUUUGUUGGUUCUGAAGAUCGUUAGGUUGAAUAGUUCUUUUGUCAAGUUAAUCAUGCUAAAUUCAAGAAGGGAGAGCAGAAAACUCACUGCACUGCUAUCACUUUCACUCUUUCGAUCUGCAUUUGGCUGUUUAAUAAGUAAUUAAGUAAAACAAAAACUAAAUUUGUGAACGAAAUGUUUUCCUUAAUUGGAUGUAUUCAAUGAAACCAUCAGAGUGAAGUGCCGGAAUUCUUAGCUUAGUUGUUGCUUACACAUGGGUAUGUAUAGUUGUCCCUGAAAAAUGACUAUUCAUUUAGUCUCUAUUAGGUGCACAAAUGGCCAUCAGCAAGUGUGAAAUAGGAUCUAAAGAUAGUUAAUGUUUACGACCACAUGCUCAAACUGCUUUAUAUUACUCAUCAUAUUAAAUCCCACUUAAAUGGGGAAAGGUAUCUGCUGUCUUAGUUCAAAUGGAAGAGCACAUGGUUCUCAACCAUGUAGUUGUGGGUUCGACUCCUACAGAUGGCAUUACUAUUUGGUGGAUCCAAUAAUCACUGUCUUCUACAAGUUCAUAGCAUCUUCAUAGCUUCAAAUUCUGGAAAAGCAUAUAUGGUUGCGUUCAUGCCAAGAUGUGCAGGGAGUCAAAUUAUUGACAUGCUACAGGUAUAUUGGUAUCAACUUAACCAAUUAGUUAUAACUUGGGAACCUUUAAAGGCAGAAUUAGUAUUCCUCAAUGCUUGGAAGGAAGCACUUCGGGAUACUUCAGCCAAAUCUUCUACAUUUCUUCUUUUAGUGUGAAAAGUGUGCUGUGAGGCUCAUUUUCUUUGUUUACACCAUCCGCAGAAUCUGCUCAUAAUUGAUAUAUUUUGCAAAUUGAUCAAUUUACUUUUUCAUGAUUUGAUUGUUUUUCUAACUAUAUAUAUAUCUGUGUCACUGUUAGAAACAUCUAAGAAUAUGCCUACAAAGCCAUGAUUUUUCUAAGCCUUCAAACCAUUAUAUGAUGCCUGAAUUUCUUGGUUAUUUUAAAUGAGAAAUUAAGCUUAGCAACUUUGUUACCAUGGCUGCUAGGAGCCCAAAAGUUCAGGUAGGCGUUGCUGCAAGAGGUAUUCCAUUUCAAAACCAAUAC